rnacentral:rRNA from 1 species
UACGAAGGGGGCUAGCGUUGCUCGGAAUUACUGGGCGUAAAGCGCACGUAGGCGGUCUUUUAAGUCGGGGGUGAAAUCCUGGAGCUCAACUCCAGAACUGCCUUCGAUACUGGAAGACUUGAGUCCGGGAGAGGGUGAGUGGAACUGCGAGUGUAGAGGUGAAAUUCGUAGAUAUUCGCAAGAACACCAGUGGCGAAGGCGGCUCACUGGCCCGGUACUGACGCUGAGGUGCGAAAGCGUGGGGAGCAAACAGG